UCGAGAAUUUUUCGCAAUGGGGGAAACCCUGACGGAGCGACGCCGCGUGGAGGAUGAAGGUCUUCGGAUUGUAAACUCCUGUCAUUUGAGAACAAGUGGUUGGGCGGUCACUCGCCCGGCUUUGAUAGUAUCAGAAGAGGAAGAGGCGGCUAACUCUGUGCCAGCAGCCGCGGUAAUACAGAGGCCUCAAGCGUUGUUCGGAUUCAUUGGGCGUAAAGGGUGCGUAGGCGGUCGGGUAAGUCGGAUGUGAAAUCCUGGGGCUCAACCUCAGAACUGCAUUCGAUACUGCCUGGCUGGAGGAUUGGAGAGGAGAGUGGAAUUCACGGUGUAGCAGUGAAAUGCGUAGAGAUCGUGAGGAAGACCAACGGCGAAGGCAGCUCUCUGGACAAUUCCUGACGCUGAGGCACGAAGGCCAGGGGAGCAAACGG
rnacentral:rRNA from 1 species